UCUCCGUCGGUGAACCAGCGGAGGGAUCAUUACAGGACUCGCCAGACUCCUACAACCCUGUGAACUUAACUAUAAGCACGUUGCUUCGGCGGGUGUCUCGGAGGGGGUUCUCCCUCCCCGAGACGCUAAACCCGCCGGCAGCCUACUAUACUCUGUCUCUUUGCGUUGGCAUCUCGAGUACAAUCAAACAAGUUAAAACUUUCAACAACGGAUCUCUUGGUUCUG
rnacentral:misc_RNA from 1 species